GAUGAACGCUGGCGGCGUGCCUAAUACAUGCAAGUCGAGCGAACAGACGAGGAGCUUGCUCCUCUGACGUUAGCGGCGGACGGGUGAGUAACACGUGGAUAACCUACCUAUAAGACUGGGAUAACUUCGGGAAACCGGAGCUAAUACCGGAUAAUAUAUUGAACCGCAUGGUUCAAUAGUGACAGACGGUUUUGCUGCCACUUAUAGAUGGAUCCGCGCCGCAUUAGCUAGUUGGUAAGGUAACGGCUUACCAAGGCAACGAUGCGUAGCCGACCUGAGAGGGGGAUCGGCCACACUGGACCUGAGCCACGGUCCAGACUCCUACGGGGGGCAGCAGUAGGGAAUCUUCCGCAAUGGGCGAAAGCCUGACGGAGCAACGCCGCGUGAGUGAUGAAGGUCUUCGGAUCGUAAAACUCUGUUAUUAGGGAAGAACAAAUGUGUAAGUAACUAUGCACGUCUUGACGGUACCUAAUCAGAAAGCCACGGCUAACUACGU
rnacentral:rRNA from 1 species